AGCUGUCACGUGCGAUAACAAAUAACAUUGCUAAACCACGUGGCUGGUCUUUCACUAGUUCCAGAGCUAGAGCUAGAGAGAAGAAAAAAUUGUGCUGUCAAUUUUGAAGCUCUGAGCAAGUGAUCAACUAUUUGUCUGUAUUGGUGGAGGUUGAAGACAUGAGUCCAUGGACAGGGACUACUGAGGAACCUUCAUCAAGAACAAGGAGGUCCACACGCUAACUAGUGAUGAUGGUUUGCCCUCUAACAUGACCUCUGAGGAUAGCUCCACCCUCAACGCUAUAGGCCACGCCCUCAUCCAGAUGCAGCAAAGUGGACAGACCACCCCCUCAUCUUAGUUCCUCAUCACUAGGAGCACCUCAUCUGGUUCAGAGUCUGGACAAAAUGUCUCGUGCAUGGACAAAGAUGAUGUGUACAGUUUUGGAGUGCUUGCUUGUGAAGUGGUGAAUGCCAGAUUUCCUGAAGCUGCUGUAUUUCUUGGUCUGCUAUCGAGUAUGGAAGGUGUAUGGCGGGAGCUCCACCCACUCAUCACCUCAGGACAGACCCUCCAUGGACACUGUGUUACACCACAUCAAACAAUUGGACUCUGAGUCUUAGUAUUGGUGCAUGAGUGUGUUAUUAUUAAUUUGUGUAAAGAAUAUAUAAUUAUUCUUGCAAACAAAGUGGGGGAGGGGCUGCUCAAGAUGAGGGGGUGUUGCAUAUGGGGUCAGAGAUCAGAAAGCCAUAGGCCAUGUGGACUCACUGAAAACUGUACUAGAUAUCAUGCAAGAUGAAGGCAGCCUUGAUAGCAGCCACGGUCCUCACACUCGUGUCUGCUCCCUUCAUAAAGCCAGCUCUCUGGGGAAGCUGAAUGUACCGGUGGUUUUACUUCCCUAUGUCCCCUCCAGCACUGGAGUCAAGGUCAACUUCACUCUGAGCUCCCCUCAAGGUUGCUUCUUUUGGUGUUGGCAAGUCCACCCUCCUCCGCUCUAUGGCGUGUCAUGAGCUGCGUCUACCAGCUGGUGUGAGUGUACUACACGUGGAGCAAGAGGUCACCGGGGACAACACACUAGCACUGGAUAGUGUACUCGAGUGUGACACUGAGAGAGUGCAGCUGCUCGCUAGAGAGGGGGAGCUACUGCAUGGCCUCAGGGGACAAGAACACAGCAGCAGGCAGCGCUUCUGAUGAGCUGGCUGAGGUAUACCUUCCACUACAGGAGAUAGACGCUGAUGAAGCACCAGCAAGAGCUGGCUGUAUUCUGGCUGGUCUGGGGUUCACUCCACAGAAGAAUGAGAUUUUAUCUAGCUAAGACACUAUUUGCAAGGGGAAGGCGUGGGUGUUUUUUCAGAAUCAGGCCUGUUUUCAGAGCUAUCUUUUAGCUGCCAUAAGUUGAAUUCCGUGGAUACAAUUUCAAUGAUUUUCUGAUUUUUUGAAAGCUUAGAAAGAGACCUUUCAAAUGGUGUCAUCAAAGUUUAUAUUUGAGAGAUAAAAGUAUUUGUCAAUUUGGCCAUACCAUGAAUAAAAUAGCCCAUGGUCCAAGGCGGAAAAUUACAAAUUAGGGCCCUUGGAUCGAAACACAUCAUUUGAAAGGUCUCUUUCUAAGCUUUCAGAAAAUCAUAACAUUUUUGACAUUGGAUCAACGGUAUUAAAGUUAAUGGCUGUUGAAAAAUCAGGUUUGUUUUUAGAGCUAUCUUUUAGAGGCCAUAACUUGAGUUAGGAACGUCCUAUUUAAAAAACUCAAAGACGCAUUCUGUAGCUCUGAGAAAGCACUAUUGUAUACAAUUAAAGUGUCUUAAAACCGCUAAUUGCUCGCAGUGCCAAAGCUCACUAAUUUGUGUGUCCUAUGCUGUAGAUGUGGGAACACGGAACCAUCGUCGGUUGUGUGCAGUGUAUUAUAGUCGUACCCCCGGGUUUGAAGUGUCCAUGGACUACUGGACCGUGUCAUGCAGCUGCUGGAGGUGUCCUUCACCAAAGAUGGCAGUAGAUACUUCCUGAAGGCAGUUGAAGACUCUACCUAGUUCCCGGGCCGUUGUGCAGAGGUGUGUGUACGUGGGAAGGUGAUUAGGAAACUGGGCAUGCUCCAUCCUGGUGUGUCUGUUGUGCAGCUCUAGUGUGUGUGAGACUGGGAGGUGUGUCUGGUGCAGCUGUUCUCACGGCCUCCUCCAACCAGUACCUGCCCUCCGUACUCUCCAGGGAGAACCUAUCUCCUCAGGCCUACUAUGCUGCUCACUUUAACUGACUCUUACGAUUAUUCUAGUAUUCAUAAUGUAAGUACGUACAUAUUGUAUACCAGUACAUGUGUUGUGUGUGGUGUCCCUAUAGUUGAGUGUGAGUGUGAGAGGCCAUAUAUAUAAGGAGGACAUACGUGUGUCGAGGCUGGAGGUGGCCCGUGUGCUGAGGGGAGAGAAAUGAGUACAAAGAGAAGUACCUCUCACUAUUGGAGCAGAUUAGGUAAAGGGUCAUCUUGUAGUGUUUGUAAAGCGGUCAUCAUAACUUUAAUAACUGCUAAUACAUACUAACACUGUGUAUCCAGAGGAGGUUCGACAGGUGCAGUGCAGCUCAAGCAAUUAGUCUCUGAUCACACGCUUGCAUGAGCGGAUAAUUAGUGUUCAUGCAAUCAAAGGCUAAU